rnacentral:rRNA from 1 species
AAUGAACGUUGGCGGCGUGGAUUAGGCAUGCAAGUCGAGCGCUCAUAGCAAUAUGGGAGCGGCGAACGGCGUAGUAAGACGUAGGAACGUACCCUCGGGUCGGGGAUAGCUAUGGGAAACUGUAGGUAAUACCCGAUAAUCUCUGCGGAGCAAAGGUGUGAUUCCGCCUGAGGAGCGGCUUACGCGAUAUUAGCUAGUUGGUGGGGUAAUGGCCUACCAAGGCGAUGAUGUCUAGGGGGUGUGAGAGCAUGGCCCCCACGACCGGAACUGAGAUACUGUCCGGACACCUACGGGUGGCUGCAGUCGAGAAUCUUCCGCAAUGGACGAAAGUCUGACGGAGCGACGCCGCGUGCGGGAUGAAGGCCCUUGGGUUGUAAACCGCUGUCAGAGGGGAUGAAAUCUUCGGAGGUACUCCUCCGAAGUUGACAGAGCCUCAAAGGAAGCACGGGCUAAGUACGUG